UUAAUAGCGUGAUAGAGAGAUUAUGAAGUUAGCUUUAUUUUUAUGUGCAUUUGCAGAGGUUGAACGUGGUUUGAGGAUGGCCCUUUGUGUUGUGUGUGUAUUAGAAUGUGUGAUGAGUUUAAUUUGAUGAUAGGGGUAUAUUUGGGUGUGUAAAAAAGUAUGUGGAAAAUUGGCAAGGUAAUGUUACUAGUAAUUUUGGUGCAAAGUGUACGUGUGAUGAGAGUGAGUGAGAGAGAGGGGUUCCCAUUAGUUGUUGGGGUGCUCCCCUUUUAUAAUAAUAAAAUGGUUCUACAAUUAAUUAUAAAUUAACAAAACAUAAAACAAGAAUCAAGGGAAAAUAGAAAAAAAUAAUGAGAUUAAUUUUGCAAUUAAAAAAAAACUAUUUUUGAUUUUGUUGGAGAGAAUAAAAUAUUUAUUUUUUAAUGAUUUUUAAUUGGAAAAAAAGUUGCCAAAAUAAAUAAAAAAUAGUAGAAACGAAAAUUAAUUUUUAAAUUAAAAACAAAAAACUAAAAUUAAAAAUAGAAAGUAAUUUUUUUGACUUUUUGUGAUUUAUAGAAAUAAAUGUAAAAACAACAAAAAAAAGAGAAA
rnacentral:lncRNA from 1 species